UACGAAGGGUGCUAGCGUUGUUCGGAAUCACUGGGCGUAAAGCGCGCGUAGGCGGCCAAUCAAGUCAGGGGUGAAAUGCCGGAGCUUAACUUCGGAACUGCCUUUGAAACUGAUUGGCUGGAAGAUGAGAGGGGAGUGCGGAAUUUCUGGUGUAGAGGUGAAAUUCGUAGAUACCAGAAGGAACACCGGUGGCGAAGGCGGCACUCUGGCUCAUUCUUGACGCUCUGGCGCGAAAGCGUGGGGAUCAAACAGG
rnacentral:rRNA from 1 species